AAUAUUGGACAAGGGGGGCAACCCUGACCCAGCCACGCCGCGUGUGUGAAGAAGGUCUUCGGAUUGUAAAGCACUUUAAGUUGGGAGGAAGGGCUUUAGGCUAAUACCAUGCAGUUUUGACGUUACCAACAUCAUCAGCACCUGCUAACUCGGUGCACGCAGUCGCGGUAAUACAGAGGGUGCAAGCGAUCAUCGGAAUUAUUGGGCGUAAAGCGCGCGUAGGUGGUUCAGUAAGAUGGGUGUGAAAACCCCGGGCUUAACCUGGGAAGUGCUGUCAUAACUGCUGGGCUAGAGUACGGUAGAGGGUAGUGGAAUUACCUGUGUAGCGGUGGAAUGCGUAGAAGUAGGAAGGAACACCAGUGGCGAAGGCGACUACCUGGACUGAUACUGACACUGAGGUGCGAAAACGUGGGGAGCAAACA
rnacentral:rRNA from 1 species